rnacentral:rRNA from 1 species
AGAAUCAACGCUGGCGGCGUGCCUAACGCAUGCAAGUCGAACGAGAAAGUGGAGCAAUCCAUGAGUAAAGUGGCGCACGGGUGAGUAACACGUGACUAACCUACCUUUUAGUGGGGGAUAACCUAGGGAAACCUGGGCUAAUACCGCAUAACACUUAUGAGUCAAAGCAGCAAUGCGCUGAAAGAGGGGGUCGCGGCCGAUUAGCUAGUUGGCGGGGUAAUGGCCCACCAAGGCAGUGAUCGGUAUCCGGCCUGAGAGGGCGCACGGACACACUGGAACUGAAACACGGUCCAGACUCCUACGGGAGGCAGCAGUGGGGAAUUUUGCGCAAUGGGGGAAACCCUGACGCAGCAACGCCGCGUGGAGGAUGAAAUCCCUUGGGAUGUAAACUCCUUUCGAUCGGGAAGAUAAUGACGGUACCGAGAGAAGAAGCCCCGGCUAACUUCGUGCCAGCAGCCGC